UAUGGAGAGUUUGAUCCUGGCUCAGAGUGAACGCUGGCGGCGUGCCUAAUACAUGCAAGUCGAACGAUGAAGCUUUCUAGCUUGCUAGAAUGCUGAUUAGUGGCGCACGGGUGAGUAACGCAUAGGUUAUGUGCCUCUUGGUUUGGGAUAGCCAUUGGAAACGAUGAUUAAUACCAGAUACUCCCUACGGGGGAAAGAUUUAUCGCUAAGAGAUCAGCCUAUGUCCUAUCAGCUUGUUGGUAAGGUAAUGGCUUACCAAGGCUAUGACGGGUAUCCGGCCUGAGAGGGUGAACGGACACACUGGAACUGAGACACGGUCCAGACUCCUACGGGAGGCAGCAGUAGGGAAUAUUGCUCAAUGGGGGAAACCCUGAAGCAGCAACGCCGCGUGGAGGAUGAAGGUUUUAGGAUUGUAAACUCCUUUUGUUAGAGAAGAUAAUGACGGUAUCUAACGAAUAAGCACCGGCUAACUCCGUGCCAGCAGCCGCGGUAAUACGGAGGGUGCAAGCGUUACUCGGAAUCACUGGGCGUAAAGAGCGCGUAGGCGGGAUAGUCAGUCAGGUGUGAAAUCCUAUGGCUUAACCAUAGAACUGCAUUUGAAACUACUAUUCUAGAGUGUGGGAGAGGUAGGUGGAAUUCUUGGUGUAGGGGUAAAAUCCGUAGAGAUCAAGAGGAAUACUCAUUGCGAAGGCGACCUGCUGGAACAUUACUGACGCUGAUUGCGCGAAAGCGUGGGGAGCAAACAGGAUUAGAUACCCUGGUAGUCCACGCCCUAAACGAUGGAUGCUAGUUGUUGGAGGGCUUAGUCUCUCCAGUAAUGCAGCUAACGCAUUAAGCAUCCCGCCUGGGGAGUACGGUCGCAAGAUUAAAACUCAAAGGAAUAGACGGGGACCCGCACAAGCGGUGGAGCAUGUGGUUUAAUUCGAAGAUACACGAAGAACCUUACCUAGGCUUGACAUUGAGAGAAUCCGCUAGAAAUAGUGGAGUGUCUGGCUUGCCAGACCUUGAAAACAGGUGCUGCACGGCUGUCGUCAGCUCGUGUCGUGAGAUGUUGGGUUAAGUCCCGCAACGAGCGCAACCCCCUUUCUUAGUUGCUAACAGGUUAUGCUGAGAACUCUAAGGAUACUGCCUCCGUAAGGAGGAGGAAGGUGGGGACGACGUCAAGUCAUCAUGGCCCUUACGCCUAGGGCUACACACGUGCUACAAUGGGGUGCACAAAGAGAAGCAAUACUGCGAAGUGGAGCCAAUCUUCAAAACACCUCUCAGUUCGGAUUGUAGGCUGCAACUCGCCUGCAUGAAGCUGGAAUCGCUAGUAAUCGCAAAUCAGCCAUGUUGCGGUGAAUACGUUCCCGGGUCUUGUACUCACCGCCCGUCACACCAUGGGAGUUGUGUUUGCCUUAAGUCAGGAUGCUAAAUUGGCUACUGCCCACGGCACACACAGCGACUGGGGUGAAGUCGUAACAAGGUAACCGUAGGUGAACCUGCGGUUGGAUCACCUCCUU
rnacentral:rRNA from 1 species